rnacentral:sRNA from 1 species
GCUAGGCAUGGUGGCACAUGCCUGUAAUCCCAGCUACUUGGGAGGCUGAGGCAAGAGGAUAUCAAGUUCCAAACCAGCAUGAGCAACUUAAAAAGACCCUGUCUCAA